UUUGUUUAUAUGUGAAAUGAACAAGAAAAUAGUUAUAAAUAAACGUGUGAAGGGCCAAACUCGCGAAGAGUUGACUCAGUUAAGCAAAACAGAAUUGAUUGACAAAAUUGUGCAGCUAGAAGCGUACAACUUUCAGCUGAAAAAUCUUUUACAAAAGAAACUGUCCGAGGCGGACAAAAAGAAUUCUGAAUAUGCUGUUGUAUUACGCGGGGCGGACGGGGAUGAAGUACCAAACAAAAAUGUUUCGGAAACCGUCAAAGAUGUACCUAAAAACAAAGACAAACAACGUAAGUUUAAUUGGACCAGUGCGCACCAGAGGCAUGUUUUAAUGAAAAUAACGUAUUUUGGCUGGGAUUAUCAGGGAUUUGCUUGUCAGGAGGACUCCGCUGAUACGAUUGAAGGACAUUUAUUUCGUGCCUUGGAGCGCACUUGUCUCAUCGAAUCCCGUGCUACUUCCAAUUACCAUCGAUGCGGUCGCACCGACAAGGAAGUGAGCGCCUUCUGCCAAGUGAUAUCAAUUAAUUUGCGUAGCAAGCACUCACCCGAUACUCAAAUGGAGCCAGAGUCGCUAAGUACUGAAAUAGAUUAUUGCAGUCUGUUAAACCGUGUGCUGCCCAAAAAUAUACAAUGCGUAUCCUGGAUGCCGUUGCGAAAUCCGGAGUAUAGCGCUCGAUUUGAUUGCAUUUCACGUACCUAUCGCUACUAUUUUCCCAAGGGCGAUUUGGACAUUGACUCAAUGCAGCAGGCCUGUCAGCUACUGGUGUGCCACGGAGACUUUAGGAACUUUUGUAAAAUGGAUGUGCACAAUGGCGUUACGAAUUACAUGCGUAACUUGCAGCAUGCCGAGAUAAAGCCAUGCCACAGUACAGAAACUAAGUUAGAGGAAGGCUCAGGCUACAUCAUGUAUUAUUUGGAGAUAAAAGCAAAUGCUUUCCUAUGGCAUCAAAUACGCUGCAUCAUGGCUGUGCUGCUGCUGGUUGGACAAAAGCACGAGCAGCCAUCCAUUAUUACUAAAUUACUCGAUGUGGGCAGUAAUCCUUGUAAGCCCCAGUAUACGCCUGCUAUUGGGCUACCACUGAACCUGUUCCAUUGUGAAUUUCGAUCGCACAGCACGCGUCAAUCGAAUCCUCCAGCUGCGGAUGACGAAAUUGCAAAUUUGUCACAGAUUGCGAUUGUGGAAAGCGAAAGCCAAAGUGAUCUAACCAAUUGGGUAUACAGUGAAGAGAAUCUACAGAAGUUGAUAGAGAACGUGCAGAGUGAGUGGACGCAGUUCAGUGUCAAGUGCACCAUGAUACGCAAUGUCUUAGUGGAACUGGAGGCACUGCUUGAGCAGAAUUUCAAGGCACCGCAGAUUCAAGCACAGGCCAUGCUGCUGCAGGAUGCGGCCAAGCCGCGCCAGUAUCAACCAUUGCUGCAGCGCAAACGAUGUGAGAGCCUGGAGAAUCGCAUUGACCAUUUUGUGAAAAAGCAACGACUGCUUGUAAAAAGCGACACAACGACGGAGACGAAUAAAAGUGAAAGUAAUGAAGAUUAAUUAAUUUACUCCAGCUUGAUAUGAAUUCCUUGUGGUGCUUAGAUUUGCUGGUCUGUUGCCAUUUGGCUGCAAAUCCAAUCAGUUAUAUCAUCCACUCUUCAUAGCAAACAAACCGCAACGUUUCAGUGCAUGUCACAUACGAAGGCUUGCAUUGCGAAUCAUCAGUCAAAUGGAUCACAUAAUGCCACGCUUUGUCACACUUGGUCGCUUAUGGGAUUUAGGGCCCCUAACCGAAACCACAGUCCAGACCAUAAAAGUACCAUCCCAGACCGACCCAGAGCCAGCGCCCGUGCGCUUUGGAUCACAUUACGCACAGUGGAGCCCGGGCCCGGCUGCAGAGUGUAAAAAGUAUACGACAGACUAGGUUGAAAGUUUUCCGUCUGAGUUAUGUUUGUGCCACGCUUUUUCGCCCAAUUGUCCACUGUGCAGAGUAAAAUCGGGUCAAUACGGUAUUUCAGGGCGUGCUUUAUACCUUUAACAUAAACACACACCAUGCCCACUUUCGAGUAUCGAUGACAAUCGCGAGUGCUUGAUGAUGCGUUGACACAUGCGGAAAUCUUUUCAUUCAACGAACCAAAUAACUCGAACUGAGUCAAAUUGAUUUUAUAUAUUGUAUGUUGAAUGCCCAUUGAAUGGGCUGCAAAUAACUGAACUAGUUCCGCAAAGCCUUUGUUAUGUUACGUUUAAAGGAAUUGUCUGAUUGGCUGUACACUGCUCUUAUACUUACGCAUACAGGCACAUGUGCAUGCUAACAACUAGCGUAAGUUAGAGCGAGAUGACCCAAUUAGCAUACGCGACUGUGGGGUGUGUAUUGCAAGCUGCAAGCUGCAAAGAAUUGCUGUAUUGUCUACAUAGCUAUGUG